rnacentral:tRNA from 1 species
GAGGUUGUGGCUCAGCGGUAGAGUGCUCGUCUAGCACAUGUGAUGCCCUGGGUUGGAUCCUCAGCGCCACA